rnacentral:lncRNA from 1 species
CAGUUUAAAAUUCUUUUUCGGUAUUCAGACUGACUCUCACCGUACCAGACUGAUUCUUCUUUCAAGACCACCUCUUUGCCGAUUCUGACAGACAUUGUUACUUCACUUCACUUCAGUGCAAAUUUUGGGGCUUUUAUUGUAUUCAAUCCCUUGAUACCUCGAAAGCAUGAAAGCAGUUGCCAUCUUCUUUCCGGGUUUUCAGUUGAUUGAAUAGGGGCAGCUGUAAUACCCCAAAAUUUACCCUUCAUUUUUCCUGGAAAAAAAAACGAAAAAACGAAAAGAA